GACGAACCUUGCUAACGUUGUUCGGAAUUACUGGGCGUAAAGGGCUCGUAGGUGGCCAACUAAGUCAGACGUGAAAUCCCUCGGCUUAACCGGGGAACUGCGUCUGAUACUGGAUGGCUUGAGUUUGGGAGAGGGAUGCGGAAUUCCAGGUGUAGCGGUGAAAUGCGUAGAUAUCUGGAGGAACACCGGUGGCGAAGGCGGCGAGUUCGUGGACUGGCAAACUGACACUGAAAACGAAAGCCAGGGGAGCA
rnacentral:rRNA from 1 species